rnacentral:rRNA from 1 species
UACAGAGGGGGCAAGCGUUAUUCGGAAUUAUUGGGCGUAAAGGGCGCGUAGGUGGCUUGGCAAGUGGAAGGUGAAAUCCCUCGGCUCAACUGAGGAACUGCCUUCCAGACUGCUUUGCUUGAGGCCGGGAGAGGCGAGUGGAAUUCCCAGUGUAGCGGUGAAAUGCGUAGAUAUUGGGAGGAACACCAGUGGCGAAGGCGACUCGCUGGACCGGUUCUGACGCUGAGGCGCGAAAGCUAGGGGAGCGAACAGG